GUUGAGGGGAAAAAAGGAAUUCAAUGCAUUUUGGAAUAAGGCUGUAACAUAACAAAAUGUAGAAAAAGUGAAGGGGUCUGAAUCCUCUCCAUACCCACUGUAUGUGAUAUGUUGACAGAACUUAUUGUAACUUACCUUUAAAAGAAUAUCGGCGACGUGAAGAGCCUUCAGGUGCCACUUGAGAUUUGUGGUAUUCUUUCCACCUAGUAUGUGGCCACAUUUAAUGCCGUCUCCCUCUACAGUGAAUUCUGUUUUUCUUUCUGGUGGAUUAUGUUGAAAGUAUGUCCAAAGAUAAUUUUGUUGUUUCUGACAAGAAAGCCCAUUUGUUGACGCUGCCGCCAUGGUCCAUCAAUUAAAGGGGCUAUGAGGACUUUAUCAGUGAUCUUGAAAUAGUCUCACCUUUAUAUAUGUUCCUGCUCUUAAUCCACGUUAUAAAAUGAGAUUAUCAGCUCAAAAAAAGGUCAUUUCAAAAUGCUAUUUCUCAGGACAGUCAAAAAUCCCUGUCUGACCCGACCAUUUCCCGCGAAAAAAAUGGAACGAUAUACAGCAGUACCCGGAUGUCCCCUUGUUUACACUACGCCGACCGGCUAAAUCUAGCAGAGAGACAUGAGUAGAGUGAGAGAGAGAAGCAACAAGUGACCGGUGACCUUUUCCUUGAAGAAAUCGAUUUAUUUGAAUUAUUUGUAAGUUAUGGUGGACUCUGGAGCUGGACUAGCAAACAGACAAAGGACAGAAGAGCAGAAGAAAGCAAACCGGAGAGUAACAGAGCCCGGUCUGAAACACUUCAGGAUAGCUUAUCAGAGAUGGAGAGAACUAAAGGAGUUAAAAUGACUGAAAACAGAUGCUGGAUGGACCCUCUUCCUUGAGACAGAUAAUGUGGCAUCGUGUCCUCCUCCAUGUCAGAGACCAGGUCAGCUGGUCUUUUGGAAGCUGUGUCCACAGGCCACUUGAUGAGAGCAGCAGAGAUAAGCCAUGGAUGGUGUGAGGCUCUCCAUCACAUCAGGCUUGUGCAUCCAUUUUCGAUGAUAAACACUGCCUGAAGGAUGUGAAGAAGUUUACCAACUUUCACACAACACCAGACCUGGAAUCCUUUCAGAACAACAUCCUCUUGUAUGCUGCAAAACACUUUUCAUUCAGGUCACCAGUGUAUGAGGCGCACACUCCUCUGGCACCACACCCACAGGCCUGCAGCCCUGACUCUGAUGGUAACAAUGAACAAAAGCUACUACAAUAAGACGACCAAAACAUGGAACAUCUACAGUGAAGAAGCCAUAAGACUGCACAACUGUAGUCUCCCAUGUCACGAUUGAAAUCUGGGAAGAGACUUCCCAAAACAAGAACACUAAGACCUGAUGACCAAAGGAGACUUGGACAUCUUCCUGGGAUUCCUCCACCACCUACAACAGAACUAGCACAAGCACACAGCCAACACAGAGAAGUUUGUACACAUGUAGGCAUAUUUUUCUUGCAUCACUUACAUGACAAACAAGAAUAAAUGUUAUAUAUCUCAUAUCUGCUGCAUAGUCUGAAUAUUGAUAAAGCAGCUUGGCUGAUCAUAAAAGAAUCGCUGUUGUUCAUCACACAUAGCACAGUUUUACUUUUAGAGUAAAAUGUGACACAUGUAGUCACUCUCAGCUUCCUGUUGUUUCUCUGCUAACCAUCACUAUAUCUUCUCUUUCACUCUUACAGAACCUGCCUGUAUGAAAAGUGUAAAGUUGUAUUAUCAUACACUGUAUAACAGAUAUGUAAAUAAUGUGAAGAACUGUAAAUAUUGUAUAUUGA